rnacentral:rRNA from 1 species
CAGUAGCCGCGGUAAUACGUAGGUGGCAAGCGUUGUCCGGAAUUAUUGGGCGUAAAGGGUGCGUAGGCGGUCUGACAAGUCUGAUGUUAAAUCUAUGGGCUCAACCCAUAGUCUGCAUCGGAAACUGUCGGGCUUGAGUAUGGGAGAGGUGAGUGGAAUUUCCGGUGUAGCAGUGAAAUGCGUAGAUAUCGGAAGGAACACCUGUGGCGAAAGCGGCUCACUGGACCAUUACUGACGCUGAGGCACGAAAGCUAGGGGAGCAAACAGGAUUAGAUACCCCCGUAGUCCCUGUCUCUUAUAC